rnacentral:tRNA from 1 species
GGAGAGAUGGCUGAGUGGACGAAAGCGCCCGCCUGCUAAGUGGGUAGGGGAUUAUUUCCCCUCUCGGGUUCGAAUCCCGAUCUCUCCGCCA